rnacentral:tRNA from 1 species
GGAGGGGUGCUGGAGCGGACGAACAGGCACGCCUGGAGAGCGUGUGCGCCCCAGAAGGGCGCCGUGGGUUCGAAUCCCACCCCCUCCGCCA